rnacentral:rRNA from 1 species
AAUCAACGCUGGCGGCGUGCCUAACACAUGCAAGUCGAACGCGAAAAGUCCCGCAAGGGAUCAGUAGAGUGGCAAACGGGUGAGUAACACGUGGGUGACCUGCCUUCGAGCGGGGGAUAACGUCCCGAAAGGGACGCUAAUACCGCAUGACAUCCUGCCUUUUAAGAGGUGGAGAUCAAAGCUGGGGAUCGCAAGACCUAGCACUCGAAGGACGGGGCCCGCGCCUGAUUAGCAGGUUGGUGGGGUAACGGCUCACCAAGGCUACGAUCAGUAUCCGGCCUGAGAGGGCGGACGGACACACUGGGACUGAGACACGGCCCCAGACUCCGUACGGGAGGCAGCAGGUGGGGAAUUGUUCGCAAUGGGCGCAAGCCUGACGACGCAACCGCCGCGUGGAGGAUGAAG